AACGAACGCUGGCGGCAGGCUUAACACAUGCAAGUCGAACGCAUCCUUCGGGGUGAGUGGCAGACGGGUGAGUAACGCGUGGGAACGUGCCCUUCAGUUCGGGAUAACCCAGGGAAACUUGGGCUAAUACCGGAUACGUGCGAGAGCAGAAAGAUUUAUCGCUGAAGGAUCGGCCCGCGUCUGAUUAGCUAGUUGGUGGGGUAAUGGCCCACCAAGGCGACGAUCAGUAGCUGGUCUGAGAGGAUGAUCAGCCACAUUGGGACUGAGACACGGCCCAAACUCCUACGGGAGGCAGCAGUGGGGAAUAGUGGACAAUGGGCGCAAGCCUGAUCCAGCCAUGCCGCGUGAGUGAUGAAGGCCUUAGGGUUGUAAAGCUCUUUCGUCCGGGACGAUAAUGACGGUACCGGAAGAAGAAGCCCCGGCUAACUUCGUGCCAGCCGCCGCGGUAAUAC
rnacentral:rRNA from 1 species